CAAAAGAACACAAUAAAAUUUACUGAAGUUUUUUUAACAAGAUGUAAAGCAAGACUUUUAAAAGCAAUUAAAGUUAAGAGUAGCACUGCAAGCAGUUUAAAUGAAUUAGGUCGACAAGAUAUUAUUAAGUUUGGAUCAAAAUACAGAUCUAGCCCAGACACUGUU